rnacentral:lncRNA from 1 species
AAGAAUAAUAAAAGAGAAUUUUAGAAAUUAUUUUGGGAUUUUUUGGAUACAAAAUGAAAUUACUAUGAAUUUUAAAAUAAAAAUCAAUUAAAAAUAAUAAAAGAAAAAGAAUAAAAAUCAGAAGAAAAAAAACACGGAGCGUUGGAUCACACCUCAUUAAUUUACGUUACAAAUCCAACACUCUAAAGGUUAGGAUUCAUGGUGGAACGCGUUGCAAGCCAAACACAGGAUCCAGUUUAAAUCCA